GUGAGCAAUCUGCCCCUGACUCUGGGAUAAGCGCUGGAAACGGCGUCUAAUACCGGAUAUGAGCUGCGACCGCAUGGUCAGUAGUUGGAAAGAUUUUUCGGUCAGGGAUGAGCUCGCGGCCUAUCAGCUUGUUGGUGAGGUAAUGGCUCACCAAGGCGUCGACGGGUAGCCGGCCUGAGAGGGUGACCGGCCACACUGGGACUGAGACACGGCCCAGACUCCUACGGGAGGCAGCAGUGGGGAAUAUUGCACAAUGGGCGGAAGCCUGAUGCAGCAACGCCGCGUGAGGGAUGACGGCCUUCGGGUUGUAAACCUCUUUUAGCAGGGAAGAAGCGAAAGUGACGGUACCUGCAGAAAAAGCGCCGGCUAACUACGUGCCAGCAGCCGCGGUAAUACGUAGGGCGCAAGCGUUAUCC
rnacentral:rRNA from 3 species